CUUUAAAAUAACAAUGGUGCACAAUAUUCAUCAAGCAUUUGAUGGUGAAUGAAUGGGGCAAGAUUGCGAUAUAAAGGUAGUGAACCUGGCAGCUUAAAAUGUAUCUUCCUUUGGUUUAAAUUAUCCUCCUGUCUGUCUAGUUGAUAUGAAAUGAAUGCCAGCAAUAAAUUAUUGCCAAACAAUCAUUCAACUCAAAUGAGAAGGAGCAAGAUAUAAAAUGGAAAGAGGAUGUGGUUUUCAAAGAAUUGAAGCCUGAAGCAACCCUCAUGAAUUUCAACCACAGCAAUUCAGAGAGCAUCACUGAUGAUUGCCCUAAUGAAGACCUUCCUGAAGUGGAACUAGUGAGCAUGCUAGAAGAACAGCUGCCUCAGUACAAAUUACAUGUGGAUUCUUUAUAUCUUCCUGUAAACGAUGACUGGAUCCAGUCAAGAAGUUCUCACAGUCAUGGUCCUGAAAUUUCUUCUCCUGUUCUUGCUGAGGAGGCACUCCAUUAU